CUGUCAGGAAAGCCCAAGGAAAUUGUAUCUGGAUUGUAUUGUGUUGUUCCCAAGAUGCUGCAUCCAGUAGAUGAAGAUCUGAUGUUGUUCACAGAGUUGACCCAGAGGAUAACGUCUAUCAUGCUGCGGUUUGGCCAGCACCUCAUCAAGCCCUCCGUGGUCUUCCUGAAGACCGAGCUUUCCUUUGCUCUCGUGAAUCGCAAGCCGGUGGUCCCGGGCCAUGUUCUCGUUUGCCCCCUGCGGCCGGUGGAGCGUUUCCGUGACCUGUGUCCUGAGGAGGUGGCUGAUUUAUUUCGUACAGCUCAAAGGGUUGGCAACGCAGUGGAGAAACACUUCUGUGCCACCUCACUCACCAUCACAAUUCAGGAUGGCCCUGAAGCUGGACAAACGGUGAAGCAUGUUCAUGUCCAUGUCCUUCCAAGGAGGUCAGGAGACUUCAGCAGGAAUGAUGAUGUCUACAAGGAGUUGCAGAGCCAUGACAAAGAGGAUUCCCCUGACAAGUGGAGGACAGAAGAGGAAAUGGCAGCUGAAGCAGCAAUUCUGAAGAAGUAUUUUCAAGAAAAUUAAAGGUAACAACGUGUCUGAAAAACAUCCUGUGACAUAAGGAAGACCUCAUUCUGCAGUUCUCAGCAGCCCUGGAGUUGCAGCUGAAUGAUUUUAUGUUCUACAAAUAAGGGAUUCUUCAAUGAAAAAUUUUAUUGGACCUUUGGAUAUCAUCAAGGAUGAAUUUCAGCUAAGACAACUAACAGCGCUGAUUCAAAGUACUGCUCUGAGUAGCAGAGUAAAUGAAAAGGCCAUUCUGAUGGUUUCUGCGCUUUUUGGACUCCGAACAAGGGCUGACUAAACAGGAAAUGAGAUCAGGGAGCAAGAGGUGACAAAGAAGAAAAACUGAGCAGACAGGCUGGCAAAUGGGCCAACAUGAAUGGUAGCCCUUUUGCACUUAAUAUUUAAAGUAUCUGUGAUUUUGUGAAGGAAGAAAACAAAGACUGCUCCAGUGGGAAAAUGCUAAACGGAAACUCGAGCAUCCAUUACGUUUACAAGGUAUUUCCAAACCUUAGGGGUUUCCUAUUGGAAAUUCUCUAUUAAUGCUGUAGCCCAUGACGAGCAGGCGCUGUGCCAACCGUUUUGCAUGGGGCUGCUGAGCAGAUGAGUACUGAGCUGUAUGGAACAUUUCAUUUGUGUAAAUGAGGAGGCCGUCAUCACAGCACUAAAGGUCCUGUUUUUAAAAAAAAGCCUCCUGUGGCAUUAUGUACAAAACAACCUAUUUAUGCUGCAUGAAAAUAUUUAUGUGCUGAGCUCCAGCUUUAAAAGGGAAUUUGCAAAAGAUGAGGGAUAUGAGAAAGGAUUGGAGUGAGAGAUAAGAAGAGAUUAGAAAAGGCAAAUCAUGAAGUACAUGACAUCCUCCAGCAGUAUGUAGAGUCAACUCCACUGCCCAUUUUUAAGACCUGAGCUUUAAGGAUGGGGUCUGAGUCAUUCAUAUCCUUCCUGUAAACUUUUCUUCACCCAGGGCAUUCUAUACAAUGAUACAAGUUGCUGAAAGUGCAAGGAUACCCUGUGCUGAAAGCAUUGCCGGUCUUUGUAACCCAUGCGUUUUGUUUCCAGCCUCAUUCACUUGUACUUACGCUGAGAUUUGGGUCAUGUCCAGCAUGCAGCAUGCCCAGGGCUUGCCUUUAACUGUGCAAUGCUGCAAGUUACUGAGCUCUCCCACUGAGAAGAGAAAACAUAGGAAAAAUCAGAAAGGUGAAGAGCAGCUUGUUGUGCAGGGCUUAGGUGGACAUGGUGCAAAUAGAACAGUCCCAGUGCUGUGGCUUUCUAAUGAAGGGCAGAACUGAUUGUGCUUGCUGUUAAUGGCUUGGGACCAUGGUCCUGUCUUUAUACACAGGCAAAUUUUCUAUGCUUUUUCCAUUAGUAAAAGUUUACUUUGUUGAAGUGAGCAGUUCCUCCAUGGGGAUCUGAUGACUAUGCCUGCAUGCCUCUGUUUUCAUUAGCAGAAUAGCUGUGUUUCAGCUGCGUUGCUCUUCAUUGACUUUGUAGGAACAGGCUGGGAGAAAGACGUGGUUCCAGCUGCCUUCUUAUCUCUGCUCACUUUGAAACAGAAAUUGCAGAAAAGCUGUCUCUUGCACCAUUAGUCCUGUAAGCAGGAAUACAACUAGCUUACUGGAAGUGUGCAUAGCAGCCUGUCUGAGAGCACCGAUCCAUUGGGGACACUGUUGGUCCAUGGACUUGGGUCCUGCCACACCAGGCAGCCCUGACAUACAGUCCCAUCUGAAAGCCACCUGGCACCAUCUGCUCACACAAAGAUUUUUAGGGCAGGGCAAAAACAUUAGGAAUCAGCUCCAAAGGCUUUGGCCUGGGCCUGUGUCAUGUUAUGCAAGGUUACAGAUAACCAUUCUUCUGCACAUCACUUCUGGGGAGCUGAGGUCAGCUUUGGCUUGUGACAGCACCCUGAAGGGCAGUUGAGGACUAAAUGUGCCCUGAAAUAAAUUCUAAAAAAGUCACACAUGGUCUGUAAAGCAAUAAAAAUCAGUGCUCCGGUACCCAAGAGCUAAAGGAAAACUUUUAGUCUUAACUACAUAGACAGCAGCAGCCAUGAAAGUACCUAAUUCACUUCAAUCUCAGCUCUCUGUUUCCUCUCCACUUCCCAUCUUUACUGUCACCAUGGUCGAUGGCUGCUAAAAAGCCUUGUCCUGCUCCUGCAUCUAGUUCUGAACAAACAGACCAGCAGUGCUGGGAAGGAGGAAAUGCUGCUGCUCAUGUAAGCUGUCCUGAGUGUUGGCAAAGCUGUGAGUUUUGGGACAGAGUGAUGUAUUUCAGCUGUUGUGAAAUUCCUGAAUAAUCAGCUCAUCAAAAAAUAUCAUGCAGAGUUCCUUUACAGUCCUCUCUAACUUACCACCUCUCCUGCCAAUAGCUCUGUAGGGUGACCACAGCCUGGCACAACCCAUUAACAGAGCUCUGCACAGUCAUGAAUAGAGCUGGCUGGAAAAUGCAAUUUUUCUUCUUAAAAGGGGAAAAAAAAAAAAAAAAGAAGUCUAUUGGGACAAGAGUCUUUCUAGCUUUGUAUUUCAGGAUGAAGAUUUCAUCUACUGUUCCCUCCAGCACCCUCCUCUGUUCUCUGUGCUCAUUCCUCCCCACCCCACUUUUUUGGAAGGCAACUCCAGGAAAUUAAGAAUCUCAUUUCAAGUGGCCUACUGAUGAACUCCUGUUAGCUCCAAGGUUGGGAGUCUUGCUGCAGGACAUGCAGCGACCUGCUGGCACCUUCUCAAGGCGGUACUUCUGGGUGAUGUGCUCUAAGACCUGCACUUUUUACUACUGCUACUCAGUCUCCUGUCUUGAAGAGCUAUUGAGCAGCUUCAGAACCACUAAACAUGAGGUAAUGGCCUUAAGUUAAGUUAAGUUGCACCAAGUUCGUCUUGAAUAUAAGUAGAAUUUCUUCUCAGAAAGAGGUGAUAAGGUAUUGGAACAGGCUGCCCAGUGAGGUGGUAGAAUCACUGCCCCUGGAGGUGUUCAAGAAACAUGGAAAUGUCACUAACAAGAGAGUGACGUGGAUUGGUGGGGAUGGGAUGAUGGUUGGAGGAGAUGAGGUUAGAGUCAUUAAGGGUGGAAAAGACCUCUAGGAUUCUGUGACUCUGUCUCUGGGGGAAGGCAGGACUUGGAAGACCUCACCUGCUCCUCAGCAUAUGGUCUACUGCCUGUACUCUGAGAGGGUGGUCCAGUCAGGGCCCCCAGGGUCCUCAUCAGUGCCCACUUUUACUCACACAGUGGGAGAUACACACAGUACGCACACACAAAAGCAUGCUUAAAACUCAAGCUUCUUACAUAAUUAAAUAUGUUGAAAUAGCCAACAAGCCAUUGAAAAGCAGCAGAACGUCACAAAAUGGAAGCUGUUCCUCCAUUCUCUGCUCCAGCAGCACAAAUCCCCACUGCAGAGGAAGAUUUAUUAACAAUAGUCAACCUUCAUUUCAGGUAUUCUGCCUUUUGUCCUCGUAUCACAACAUUAACAUUAUCCCCACAUAAUUUUGUGUAUUUAAUUUUACAAUAGACUGUGCCAGUGAGCACUGCCUGUAAAUAUUUGAUCACUGCCAUUCCUCUAGGAUUAUCUUAUCGGGAGUAAAGAUAUUAAAAUAGAAAUCUUGUCAUGUUACUGCCUUUAUACUUAGAGCCUGAGAGUUGAUUGACAGAAAAUGAACUGCCUGAACUAGCUCUAAAGCGACUUUUCAUUGAGAGCUUCAAUGCCAGAGGCUAUAGAAAAAAGGUAGCUAGUCAUCAGAAAAUAAUGCCUUGCUGUAGUUACGGAGCUUUUGUACUAAAGAUUAAAAAUAUGAACCUACUAGGGAUAUUUUUUACAAGUGUAAAAUGGUGGUGGGUCUUUUUGUAUCUUUUUGCUAUCUCUAAUGAGCCUUAAGAAGAGCUUUCCCUUUCCUCCCUGUACUUGAAUAUUCGAUGCAGCCUAACCGCAGCUCUCAGACACGGGCUGAUAUUUUGCAAGAGUAAGCUCUUGACUUAUCUAACCUACAAAAUUUAUUUUACAUGACAAAAUGUUUUGCAGGCCAGAACUGAAUGUUCCUACCUAGCUUGGAAUAUCAAACCACUAUAGAUAAGUCCAGUUUUCUAUUGAUGGCCAGUUAAAACACACCAGUAAUGCAGCUGUAAUGUUACAAAAUUGCUCUGAAAUUGUCAUGUGUGUGCAGAUAAAUACAGAACCAUUCCCUGAGGGCUCAGCCAGCCUGUGUUCCUGCACAAAUCAAUGAGAAUUUUGCUGGGGUAAGGACCUAAGCACCAAUUCAGGAAAGAGCCUAAGCACGAGCAAACUUUAAUCGCAAGCUCUUGCUCCUUAGAAAUCAAUAAAGACUUAAGCUAGGGCUUAAGUGCCCUUUUUUUGAGGGGGGUGUGGGUUUGCAUUUGCACAGGCAAAGAGCUAACAAUUCCCAGCAUCCAGAAUAAAUCUUGCUCUGUCCCAUCAUGAUCCUAGAGAGCAGGAGGGGCUGGUUGAUUCACAGAUCUGUCCCAUUGCAAUGACAAACUGUAGCCACUGCCAUUAAAUCAUUCCAGCCUUUCACGAUGGUGACAAAGUGUGAGUGUGGGAUGACCACAGUUGGAGUGGCUGGAGGAGAAGUGCAGCCUCGAGCACUGUGCUUGGGCCAGAUCAUUGCUCCCACUUUCCUUCCCCUGUAACAUGAACAACUGUAUGAAAUGAAACUAAUUGGAUGCUAAGCAACCUAUUACCAUGCUGACAUGAGAGGGAUUUACAUGGGUGACUCCCAUUAGCAGUAAUGGGUGGUCCCCUUUACUCUUUCCCUGGGCUCUCGAUGCAGAAAAAAAUUGUCCUAACAUUUCACUUACGGGAAAGGUCAAGAGCUGUGGUUUUGUUCAGUGCACUCGAUAUAUUCAAUUAAAAUAUACUGGCAUGUUCAUCAGCUAUUAACUGUCUUUGCAAUAGCUGUAAUUAAACAGAUGCUUAGGUGGGAAAGGAAAUCCUUCAAGAGGUGAGCAGGAACUUCCCUAGUCACCAUAGUGGGUUUCUUCACAUAUAUUGACUCAGCCAAUGAGACUUUUCCUUUCCUUGCUCGUGGAGUAAAGGGGUGUUUUGCCCCUAACAGCCACCAUUUCCCUGCAGGGAUGUGAGAGUAACGGAUUGGCAUGGUCCCUUCCCAGCAGGAGAUACACAGGCACUUGCAGGUAUAUCACAUAAAAUUUCACUUAACAUGGAUAAGAGGGAGAGAGUAUGAGAGAGUUAACAGCUGAGUAUUGAGCAAACUCAAGUUUCACAGACUUGAGCAGCCGGUGGCCUCUGAUUCAGUGGGCUGUAGGGAGUUAAAAGCCACACACUUUGCUUUGAAUUUUCCUCUGAAGGGACUAAAAUGAAGGAAAAAAAACCCAACUAGUGCAGAGGAGCAAACUGAAGGAAGCAAAAAGUAAUUACUCAAGCCAACUGGUCUAAUUAUAUAAACAGAGCAGAGCAAUCAUUGGCACUCUAAAGACGGAUAGUGGGGAAAUGGAGACAUAGGAGAAAAUAACACAGGCUGAGGAAUUAGUAUUCCUCGUGCUGCAGAAAAGUGAGUUAUUCGCAUUAUGCAGACUUGCAGAGAGAUGGAGGCAGAAAAAAAAAAACAGAGCUAGAACAUCCAGAAAGCCAACAGGGAGGAGUUGUCACUGCAGCGGAGCCUGGUGUGAUGCCACCUCUGCUGUUGGAAGGAAAGGAAGGGAGAAAGGGGAAGGGAGGCAAAGGGAGGGGCAGGCAGGCAAAGGCAGGAAGGUGGCAGUGCAUAAUAGUCAAUCAGGUCUUCACCAAAGUUUAACAAUUACAGUGGUUGUCAAUUGUAAACUGCCUAUGAAAAGUAUGCAAACAUUGACCCCAAGUGUUAUACUGAGAACAUGGAAAUUAAAAUCAUCUGUCUUACUUGAUUCAGAGCCUCCCACAUAGCAAGGUUGGUAUUUAAGGAAAACCUUGGCCAGACUCAGAUUGCUUCUUUCUGCUAGAUUAAAAUUAAAUUAAGUCAAAAUUUAGAAAAUACUGGUUUAAUUAAAGAUACUUUACCAGAUCAUAAAUUAUGCAUUCCCCUUCCUGUUGCGAAGUGCAAGUUUGAUGCUAGGUGUCAGCGCUGUGGAGGAUUCCUAAAGGUUAGUUCCCAUUUAUGUGCUGCAUAAAGCAGCCUUCUAGAAACGAGUGACUAAUUACUGAAGUUACCAAAUUGCUACCCUGGCCUGUUUAGCAAAUGCGCUUCCCUGACUUCAGCAAGAGCAGUUUUCUCUGGUGGCUUAGUCCAAAUUUGCAAAAUGGGACAGCAGAAAGAGACCUUGGCCAAAAGCAGGCAUUGGCAUGGAAUCAAGCCCGAAAAUAGUAAUGGAUAAUUAUCCAGAAAAUAAUUAUGAAAUGUUAAAAGUCUGGCUAUCUCACACAGACCACUGCAAGGAAUAGUACCUCUGUUUCAUUGCAGAGCAGCAAAAGGAGAAUCCUCGCAAAGUAGCUUUCCUCAUCCUCUUAUCCGUGCACAUUAGCACUGAAGGUGAUACCCCUUCUGAUACUGAAAAAAAAGAAAAAAAAA